rnacentral:rRNA from 1 species
UACGUAGGGUGCAAGCGUUGUCCGGAAUUAUUGGGCGUAAAGAGCUUGUAGGCGGUUUGUCGGGUCUGCUGUGAAAUUUCGGGGCUCAACCCCGAACUUGCAGUGGGUACGGGCAGACUAGAGUGUGGUAGGGGAGACUGGAAUUCCUGGUGUAGCGGUGAAAUGCGCAGAUAUCAGGAGGAACACCGGUGGCGAAGGCGGGUCUCUGGGCCGAUAUUGACGCUGAGGAGCGAAAGCGUGGGGAGCGAACAGG